GAUGAACGCUGGCGGCGUGCUUAACACAUGCAAGUCGAACGAAGCACUUAAGAUUGAUUCUUCGGAUGACGUCUUUUGUGACUUAGUGGCGGACGGGUGAGUAACGCGUGGGUAACCUGCCUCACACAGGGGGAUAACAGUUAGAAAUGACUGCUAAUACCGCAUAACCCGAUAGGAUCGCAUGAUCCAGACGGAAAAGAUUUAUCGGUGUGAGAUGGACCCGCGUCUGAUUAGCUAGUUGGUGAGGUAACGGCCCACCAAGGCGACGAUCAGUAGCCGGACUGAGAGGGUGAACGGCCACAUUGGGACUGAGACACGGCCCAAACUCCUACGGGAGGCAGCAGUGGGGAAUAUUGCACAAUGGGGGAAACCCUGAUGCAGCGACGCCGCGUGAGUGAAGAAGUAUUUCGGUAUGUAAAGCUCUAUCAGCAGGGAAGAAAAUGACGGUACCUGACGAAGAAGCCCCGGCUAACUACGUG
rnacentral:rRNA from 1 species